UACGUAGGGACCGAGCGUUGUCCGGAAUCAUUGGGCGUAAAGAGCGUGUAGGCGGCCACUUAAGUCCUGCGUGAAAUCCUGCGGCUCAACCGCAGGCGGUCGUGGGAAACUGGGUGGCUAGAGUGCGGGAGAGGAGAGUGGAAUUCCUGGUGUAGCGGUGGAAUGCGCAGAUAUCAGGAGGAACACCGAUAGCGAAGGCAGCUCGCUGGGACGUUACUGACACUGAGGCGCGAAAGCGUGGGGAGCGAACAGG
rnacentral:rRNA from 1 species